rnacentral:rRNA from 1 species
GUCGAGAAUUUUUCACAAUGGGCGAAAGCCUGAUGGAGCGACGCCGCGUGGGGGAUGAAUGGCUUCGGCCCGUAAACCCCUGUCAUUUGCGAACAAACCUUGCCAUUAAAUAAAUGACAAGCUGAUAGUAGCGAAAGAGGAAGGGACGGCUAACUCUGUGCCAGCAGCCGCGGUAAUACAGAGGUCCCAAGCGUUGUUCGGAUUUACUGGGCGUAAAGGGUGCGUAGGUGGUGAGGUAAGUCUGAUGUGAAAUCUCCGAGCUUAACUCGGAAAUGGCAUUGGAAACUACCUGACUAGAGGGUUUGAGGGGGGACUGGAAUACUUGGUGUAGCAGUGAAAUGCGUAGAUAUCAAGUGGAACACCAGUGGCGAAGGCGAGUCCCUGGAAAAUACCUGACACUGAGGCACGAAAGCUAGGGGAGCAAACAGGAUUAGAUACCCCAGUAGUCC